AACAGGAUUAGAUACCCUGGUAGUCCACGCUGUAAACGAUGUCGAUUUGGAGUUUGGGGGCAUGACCCUUGGGCUCCGGAGCUAACGCGUUAAAUCGACCGCCUGGGGAGUACGGCCGCAAGGUUAAAACUCAAAUGAAUUGACGGGGGCCCGCACAAGCGGUGGAGCAUGUGGUUUAAUUCGAUGCAACGCGAAGAACCUUACCUGGUCUUGACAUCCAUAGAAUCUUUCAGAGAUGAGAGAGUGCCUUCGGGAGCUAUGAGACAGGUGCUGCAUGGCUGUCGUCAGCUCGUGUUGUGAAAUGUUGGGUUAAGUCCCGCAACGAGCGCAACCCCUAUCCUUUGUUGCCAGCACGUAAUGGUGGGAACUCAAAGGAGACUGCCGUUGAUAAAGCGGAGGAAGGUGGGGACGACGUCAAGUCAUCAUGGCCCUUACGACCAGGGCUACACACGUGCUACAAUGGCGUAUACAAAGGGAUGCGAAGGUGCGAACUGGAGCGGACCUCACAAAGUACGUCUAAGUCCGGAUUGGAGUCUGCAACUCGACUCCAUGAAGUCGGAAUCGCUAGUAAUCGUGAAUCAGAAUGUCACGGUGAAUACGUUCCCGGGCCUUGUACACACCGCCCGUCACACCAUGGGAGUGGGUUGCACCAGAAGUAGAUAGCUUAACCUUCGGGAGGGCGUUUACCACGGUGUGGUUCAUGACUGGGGUGAAGUCGUAACAAGGUAACCA
rnacentral:rRNA from 1 species